rnacentral:rRNA from 1 species
GACGAACGCUGGCGGCGUGCUUAACACAUGCAAGUCGAACGGAAAGGCCCUGCUUUUGUGGGGUGCUCGAUUGGCGAACGGGUGUGUAACACGUGAGUAUCCUGCCCUUGACUUUGGGAUAACUUCAGGAAACUGGGGCUAAUACCGGAUAGGAGCUCCUGCUGCAUGGUGGUGGUUGGAAAGUUUCGGCGGUUGGGGAUGGAAUCGAGGCUUAUCGGCUUGAUGGUGGGGUAGUGGAUUACCAAGGCUUUGAAGGGUAGCCGGCCUGAGAGGGGGACCGGCCACAUUGGGACUGAGAGACGGCCCAGACUCCUACGGGAGGCAGCAGUGGGGAAUCUUGCACAAUGAGCGGAAGCCAGAUGCAGCAACGCCGCGUGCGGGAUGACGGCCUUCGAGUUGUAAACCGCUUUCGCCUGUAACGAAGCGUGAGUGACGGUAAUGGGUAAAGAAGCACCGGCUAACUACGUG